rnacentral:rRNA from 1 species
UACGGAGGGUGCAAGCGUUGUCCGGAUUUAUUGGGUUUAAAGGGUGCGCAGGCGGUGCGUUAAGUCAGUGGUGAAAUCCCUCAGCUCAACUGAGGAACUGCCAUUGAUACUGGCGUACUUGAGUACGGACGAGGUAGGCGGAAUUUAUGGUGUAGCGGUGAAAUGCAUAGAUACCAUAAAGAACACCGAUAGCGAAGGCAGCUUACUAGACCGUAACUGACGCUCAUGCACGAAAGCGUGGGGAGCGAACAGG